rnacentral:rRNA from 1 species
UACAGAGGGGGCAAGCGUUGUUCGGAAUUACUGGGCGUAAAGCGUGCGCAGGCGGUUUUGUAAGUCUGUCGUGAAAUCCCCGGGCUCAACCUGGGAAUUGCGAUGGAGACUGCAAGGCUAGAAUCUGGCAGAGGGGGGUAGAACUCCACGUGUAGCAGUGAAAUGCGUAGAGAUGUGGAGGAACACCGAUGGCGAAGGCAGCCCCCUGGGUCAUGACUGACGCUCAUGCACGAAAGCGUGGGGAGCAAACAGG